rnacentral:tRNA from 1 species
GAGGGUAGAGCUCAGUGGUGGAGUGUGUGCUUAGCGUGCACAAGGUCCUAGGUUCAGUCCCCAGUACCUCCA